rnacentral:sRNA from 1 species
ACACUCUUCUUCUUCUUCUUGUAA